AGUUAUGUUCUAAUGUAUGACUUUUCUUUGAAUUAUUCCUAAAAGGGAAACUUCCUCCAACCUUUACUAGAAGCCACAUGUCAUAUUUAUAUUACUAUAAUAGCUUCCUUCAGGAUCUCCCUACAUCUUCUCUUACUGUCCUUGUCCCCAGACACACCCCCUUGACAGAGCUAAAGUGGACUUGCAGCAUGUUACACACCUACCCUCUGUCCUCAGUGGUUUCCCAUAGCUCUUAGGACAAAGACCAGAAUUCUUCACAUGGUCUUCCAGGCCCUAAGCAUCUCUCCAGCUUUAUCUCCCAUCACUUUACCCCACAACAUCCCCUUCCUGAACGCUCUGCCCCUGUCACCACCACUGCCUAGUUGCUAGACAUUCUGACCUUCUCUUUCAGAUCUUUGAACAUCAUCCUCCAUCCUUCACAGGGCCUGGGUCUAUCCUUUUUUCUCUACUUAGAAAUUCCUGCCCAUUCCCGUGUUCAGCCCUUCCAGCACUUAACUCAUCAUUCAGCUCACAGCUCAAACGGCACCUUUUUAGCUCACCCCUAGAUAUAGUCUUCCUGUUUUCUGUUUCUAUUGCACCAUGCAUCUUUCCUUCCUAGCAUUUAUCAGUAUUUGAGAGUGUGCAUUUACUUCUGUGAUUAUUUGGUUCAUGCAUGUCUUCCCCACCAGCUCUUUUAUCUCCAGAGCAGGGACUGUGUGUAUUUGGACAUCACUGGAUGCCUAGUGUCCAGGAAGGUGGAUGGCAGAGGCUAGAUGUUCAAUAAAUAUUGGUUGUUAGGAUGAAUGAAUGAGCAGAUGAAGGAAACUGGAACUGUUUAAAGCAAAGCUAGUGGAAUCUGGAUUUAAACAAAAUAUAAAUAUAGGGAUGGUUCUGUAUAUAGAAUGAUUAUCUAUUAGAUCACUUAGUAGUACGUUCUAUUGCUAUGUAAAGUAUUUUUUAUUUAACAAAACUUCAGAAAUGUAUCAAUUACAGAAUGUCAAAAAUUGCAGAAAAUAUUUUUACUCUCGUUAGUUCCUUGGUUCAGCAACAUAUUCAUUAAUGCGUAGUCUUUUCAGGCACUGUGCUAGGCACACAAAGAUAAAUAAGUUGUCAUGACCCUUGGUUAAGGAGCUCUAGGUAUGGAGAGAGAAACAGACAUGCAAACUAGUUGUUACACAGGAUAAGUGCUGGAACAGGCACUGGAAACUGUCGGGAGAACACGUAGGACUGUAACAUCAAACAUGGCUGUGACAGAGUUAAUUUUUUAGCUACAAGUGAAAGCAUGUUACUGCCCAUGUAAGUCCCCCUGUCUGCCUUCCCUGGUGAAUUUCACUGAAAGACUCACUACAAAUGCCACCUCCUAUGUGAUACGUUCUCCAAGGUGCGCAGGGAGAGUAAGUAUCACCUUCCUUAGCUCUCCAUUACAUUUUCUGCAGUAAUUGUUUAUUUAUAUAUCUGCCUCCCAAGCUGGAUGAAGAAUCUAUCAAGGACAGGGACCACGUCUUACUCAUUUCUGGAAAACAGUGUGGCAGAGUGAAGGAUCAUAGGCACUGGAGUCAGAACUGGGUUCAGACUCCAGUAACAGGCUAUUUGUAAAUCCAGAAGUAUGUCUGUGCUGACAUAGGACAUCACUAUGAUGCUUAAAACCCAUUGCUGGCAAUGCUUUCAAGAAGGGCUGAAAGGCACAUUCAAAUAGCAUACUUGACCCAUCCAGUGUAAAGAUUAAAAUAACCCAGCUAAUACCAAGUUCCAAAUCGCAAGAUUAGAAUCAUUCCAGUGUUCUGGAACUCUGGGAAAGAGAAUGAAGUUGCCCUGUGUUACAGAGCUAUUUUUCCAUUUCUGUCAAACACAUCUCAGAAAUAUCCCCUUGCAUUCGUCAUUGUUAAACUUUGCAUAAGACAAUACAAAACCACAUGGCAGAGGUACAUGCAUCUUAUUUCCCUUAAAAGAUGCUCAGGAACUAUUUGUAUCACACUUAUUAUUUUUAAACUAUUAAAAAAGAAAACAAAAUUCACACUGAAAUAUGAAUCUGGGUCUAAUGCUUGAAACAGAACAUCCACAAUCUUUUCCUGCUGUAAGCUUCUGCCAGAACACACGGAAAUCACGAAGGGAGAAGAGAGGGGCAGGUGUGUAUCCGCGACCAAAUUUUAGCUCCAAAGUUCUAAAAGGUAAUUUUGGAAGAAAAAAAGCAUAGUUUGGAACGCUCAUUAAAUCUGCAUAUUUUUUCACCAAACUUAUUAUAAAGUUAUCGCUAAGCUAAAAGUUUAAGAAAAAUCGUAGUCCACAUUUCUGUGGCUAAUUUCAUUGUUUUCACUUAAGGUUUUUAAUUUCUUUGACGUAAAAAUAAUUCCUUUAUAGUCGACACCCCCGCAGUCGACAACUAUGCGGUGGCCGCAGCCGCGCAUCACAGGGUUGCUCUCGCUGCACAGGUGGUUCCACGUUCGUGUAGAGGCCAAACCGAGCAUCUGGCCAAGUGGUGCCCUGUGCCCACCACAUGCCUCCCCAGCUUUAACGGGACUUCAGUUCUGUCCCUUGCUUUACGACUAAUCUCACAACCACAUUGCUUUAGAACGACACAUUAGGAAGAAGGCAGGUCAUCCUCUCCCAAUAAAACGUCCCUCAGUGAAGUCGAUUUUUCCUCUUGUGUCUGACACUGUCGCCAAAUGGCCCCAUUCCCGUGGAAUUGUAAUUACAGCCUUUCUGAGAUGAUGAGCAAGUCUCUUCGUCCAUUCCCUGCCUCCACAGUAAGCCCACACAGCGCUGCAGUCCAGCAAAGUCAGUGGAAGCGUAAAAACUAAGCUCUCUGAUGACACAUAUCUAUGGCUGCCACACCUGCCUUUCUCCAACUUCUUGGGUUUUUUGUUGAAAGGGGAACUCAUUUUUGAAGGAUAGAUUGAUGCACCUGAAUGUUAAUCUACACAAAAUAACAGAAUAUGGGAGUAGAAGGAGACCUCAGUGAGAGUGACAGUUUUUUAAAAACCCUCUUCUCACAGUUAACAAAAAGGAGAGAAGAUACUUCAUGUGGAGAAAAGAGACCACCGGCCUCCCUCCGGGGUUCCGCCCCCGAGAGCCGAGAAGGACACGGCGCGCAGCACAGGGCGCGGGCGGGCGCCGUCUCCAGGACGGGAGCCGUUUGAUUUACACGACGGCGUGUGCACCAGUCGGCUGUGUCUUGUUCCGUUAUUACCAACAUCCACUGAGCACUUGCCAUGGGCCAAGCUCUGUGCUGGGUCCUGACCCAAAUCUGAUCAGCAGUACAUCUCUUGUCUUUAAAUUAUUGUCGUUAAUAGAUGACCCUCUGGCUCAGGAGGGCGGUCUUCAUGUGGCACCUUCCACAGACGCUGGACAAGGGUGACCGGGGCGCGUCCAUCCCUGCUGCUGGAGAAAGAGCUGCAGCACAGGCCCGGGGGCGCGGGGCAGCCCUGAGGCUCAGUCUCCAGGCCGCGUGCUGGGCCACUUGGAGAGCUGGAGGGGGACGGCUGGCCCCACCUUCUCCCCUGUCUUGGGCCACGUCUCUAAUCUGAACUGACUCCCUGGGCAAAGAUAGACACCACCAGCUAUUAGGAAUGAGGUCAUUUUUUUCAAAAAAGUUUCCUUUGAUUUCUCUAGAUUUCCUCGGCAUGGGAGUGGAGGGACUUAGUGGUUUCGGGCAAGCAGACACACUUUGGAGUCAAGCCUGCCUCUGACAGUGCUAACUAUGUAACUUGGUGCUUUUCUGGGCCUUAGAUUCCUAAUCUAUAAAACUAACCAGUUGUCUGGAUGUUCUUUUAAGUUCCUUCUAGACCUAAAAUUCUUUGAUGCCAUUAGAGUCACCAAAUUUGGCAAAUAAAAAUACAGGAAAGCAAACGAAAUUUGAAUUUCGGAUAAAUAAUGCAUCAUGUUUUAGUAUAGUCACGUGCCGCAUAACGAUGUUUUGGUCAAUGACAGACAGCACGUACAAUAGUGGUCCCAUAAGAUUAGUACCAUGCAGCCUAGGUGUGUGGUAGGCUGUACCACUGAGGUUUGUGUAAGUGCACGCAGUGAUAUUCCCACAAUGGCGAAAUCAUCUAACCAUGAGUUUCUUGGAAGGCUUCCUGGUCAUUAAGCGAGGCAUGACUGUCCAAGUGUGUCCUAUGGCCUGUAUUCCAUGGCAACUUUAAUUCCGUGAUAUAUCUACCUCUCCAGGAUGAAAGCAAAUAUUCCAGCAAAGGGACAAUGACUGUUGGGAUAAAGGUUGUCAGAAUUGUUAAUAUUCUUAAGCAAAUUUAUAUCAGGAAACAUGGGCUUCGCUGUGUGACUUGACCUCCCUACUCUGAUUAGACAGAGAGGUCGUCACAGAUAGGUGAGCAGUAACGCAGGAAUGGGAGAAAGGAGGGCCCUGGAGGCCAGACUGGCCACAGAGACACGAAGAGUCCUGUCGCAAAGGCACUGCGCGUCUGGGUUCCAUCUUCCCUCCACACUGACUUUAGUCUCUGCUUGUGGGAAAUAUGAUCAGUUAUUCCCACCCAAAUCUCAUGGAACAGGCUCAUACACAGAAGUGAAUUAUUCCCCCCCCCCCCC